rnacentral:lncRNA from 1 species
CUACGCUGCAGACACUCCAAGGCCACAUACUUACUACAAACUACGUGUCCACAGAAGCCCCAAAAAAGCCACUAAUACUAAAUAACCCCCUAGCCUCCAAGCCACCCCACCCUAGGCCUCCAAAGCACUACUACCCCCUAUCCUCGCUCAACCUCGCAAGCCACUACUAUACUAAUUAACCCCCCCAGGCCUCUCCCUCAACCCUCAAAGCCACUACUACAAAAUAACCCCCUCUACCUCCUCAACUC